rnacentral:rRNA from 1 species
UACGGGGGGGCAAGCGUUGUUCGGAAUUACUGGGCGUAAAGGGCUCGUAGGUGGCCAACUAAGUCAGACGUGAAAUCCCUCGGCUUAACCGGGGAACUGCGUCUGAUACUGGAUGGCUUGAGUUCGGGAGAGGGAUGCGGAAUUCCAGGUGUAGCGGUGAAAUGCGUAGAUAUCUGGAGGAACACCGGUGGCGAAGGCGGAUCUCUGGGCCUUGCCUGACGCUGAGGCGCGAAAGCUAGGGGAGCGAACAGG